GUCGUCAUAUUAAACCUUUCUUACCAGUUGUUCAUUACAGUAUGUUCUUUGUUGUUUUGUUUAUGUUGGUUUUUUUUUUCCUACAUGUUUUUCAGCAUGGUUUAAAUCAAACAUUAUCUCCCUCAGUGACAGAAAUAUAAAUGAAGCAACCAGGAGGAAGUGACAGGUCGGUUUCAUCACGAAUAAAGACAUCUCUGUGCGUAAGGAAACAGUAGUCCACUUAUAUUAGACACUGGCAGGUAGAGACAGGGCACAAUGGCUCGUUUCAGGUGGACUCAAAUCGCACUGUUUCUGAUGCUGCUUCAUUUGAAAGCUAUAACUGGACAAAUUCGCCCCAUCACUGUCAGAGAUGGAGAUGAGGUCACUUUGACUUGUGAAAAUGUGAUACAGGAUCAGGAUGAAUGUAACCGUACCACCUGGAUCUUCAUUUAUGUUGCCUCACCAAAAGUAGAGUUGGUUACACUGGGGCAGAUUGGUGAACAAGCCAAAGAUAAAUCAGACAGACUGAGUGUUACAGCGAACUGUUCUCUGGUUAUAAAGAAUGUCACAUUUGAGGAUGCUGGUCAAUACAACUGCAGACAGGUUGCACCAAUACGGCCUCAAAACUAUUAUCUAUAUCUGUUUGUUAUCAACAUGACUGAACAUAAGGACAAUGAUGAGGUGUUGUUGUCGUGCUCUGUAUCAACAUUUGGAUUGUGUAGACACACAGUGGAUUGGCUGUACGAGGGGAAACGUGUGGCUGAAGACAAAAAAGACAUCAGGAUAUCACAUUCUGACUGCUCGGCUACUGUGACAUUUCUCACCUCUUAUCUCAAGCAUCAAGCAAGCAAUUAUCACAAGUUGUUUAAAUGUGAAGCACAUCAUCAUUACAUUGGAAAAGCGCAACUGUUUACCUUCAGCCCUCAGUCCUCAGUUGAGGAUGCAACAACAACGAUAUCAGCAGAAGCACCACCAACAACACCAACAACAACAACACAAGAGGGUGAGAAACAAAACUUACUCAACAUGAAACAGUUCUAGCUGUGAAUGCAAUGUAUACACACAAACACUGUAGAUUUGGUUAAAAUGUACAUACAUGUUUACAUUAGCAGGUAUGAUGUUUAAUAUUAAAACCAUGUUAGUUUAGUGUGUUGGAAUGCUGUUCAUUACCACUGAACACAAAUUACAGCUAAGGCUGAUGGGAAUGUUUCUGUUGCACAGCUCGUACAGAUUGGUCUGUUCUGAACUACAUAAUGUUGGUUAUGCGUGUGGCUGAACUCCUCCUAAUUACUGUGAUUACUGUUCUUCUCAUCAGAGCUCAAGGUGAGAACAUUCAGACCAACAUUUGUUUACACUGAUUAACACAAACUGUAAGUUUAGAGCUGAAAUGUUACUCUGUGCUUUAUUUUCCAGAGAACCAGAGACCACCUGAUGACAGCACUGUGAGUUGAGAAUAAAAACUGAAGUGAACCCAUGUGUAACAAUAAAAAUGUAUAUGAAUGAUCAGAGACUGUAAGUCAGUGUAAAUGAUGAUAAGCUGCUGCUGGGAACUGUUCAUGUUACUGUAAUGCAGGACUGUGAAUGUCUCACUGUUUGUGUUUGUGCAGGUUUUAAACUCAGUAAAGAGCCAAGCAGUGAGGAGUUCAGGUGCAGCAGCCAGUCAGGUAAAGAUCAGAUCAGACAGUAACUGGAGGAAAAUCUGGCAGUUUUGGGAGAUUAUGACAAAAUUCAUGGACUGAAAACAUUUAUUUGUUCCAGUUUAACUGAAGUGUGUUGCUGUGUCUCACAGUUGCAUCGUGAUGAAGAUGGACAUGAUGGCACAGUGAACUAUGAAA
rnacentral:lncRNA from 15 species